GGAUUCUCUCAGAAUAAAAAGAUAGAUUCUGAAAUCUCAACCUGGGAGUGUGCCCAUUGAGAGAGAGUGUAUGAGAUGAAGAAGUGUUUUAGAAAAUGAAGAAAAGAGAUGUGGUUAGAAGAGAAUGAAUGUGGUUAGUGAAAAAGGUACUCAUUCUAAAAACGAGGAGAGAGUCACGUACUCCCCUCCCUCGCUUAUUUUAUUUUUUAUUUUUUAUUUUUGUUUGUGAGGUGAUAAGUGAUAUGCGCCGUCUGCUUGAUUUCAUUAGCCAAAAUGCUUAACUUUAUAUACUAGUUUUCUAGGGUUUUAAAAUGUAUGAAAUAUCAAGACUACCCUUAGAAAUUUUAAACAAUCAAAAUGGGUUCAAAAUUAAUGAGACAAAAUCACAAUAUUUUAUAAUAAAAACAAAUAAAUUUAUUCAAUUAAUUC
rnacentral:lncRNA from 1 species